rnacentral:rRNA from 1 species
AACGCUAGCUACAGGCUUAACACAUGCAAGUCGAGGGGCAUCAGGAAGAAAGCUUGCUUUCUUUGCUGGCGACCGGCGCACGGGUGAGUAACACGUAUCCAACCUGCCCUUUACUCGGGGAUAGCCUUUCGAAAGAAAGAUUAAUACCCGAUAGCAUAAUGAUUCCGCAUGGUUUCAUUAUUAAAGGAUUCCGGUAAAGGAUGGGGAUGCGUUCCAUUAGGUUGUUGGUGAGGUAACGGCCCACCAAGCCUUCGAUGGAUAGGGGUUCUGAGAGGAAGGUCCCCCACAUUGGAACUGAGACACGGUCCAAACUCCUACGGGAGGCAGCAGUGAGGAAUAUUGGUCAAUGGGCGCUAGCCUGAACCAGCCAAGUAGCGUGAAGGAUGAAGGCUCUAUGGGUCGUAAACUUCUUUUAUAUAAGAAUAAAGUGCAGUAUGUAUACUGUUUUGUAUGUAUUAUAUGAAUAAGGAUCGGCUAACUCCGUGCCAGCAGCCGCGGUAAUACGGAGGAUCCGAGCGUUAUCCGGAUUUAUUGGGUUUAAAGGGAGCGUAGGUGGACUGGUAAGUCAGUUGUGAAAGUUUGCGGCUCAACCGUAAAAUUGCAGUUGAUACUGUCAGUCUUGAGUACAGUAGAGGUGGGCGGAAUUCGUGGUGUAGCGGUGAAAUGCUUAGAUAUCACGAAAAACUCCGAUUGCGAAGGCAGCUCACUGGACUGCAACUGACACUGAUGCUCGAAAGUGUGGGUAUCAAACAGGAUUAGAUACCCUGGUAGUCCACACAGUAAACGAUGAAUACUCGCUGUUUGCGAUAUACAGUAAGCGGCCAAGCGAAAGCAUUAAGUAUUCCACCUGGGGAGUACGCCGGCAACGGUGAAACUCAAAGGAAUUGACGGGGGCCCGCACAAGCGGAGGAACAUGUGGUUUAAUUCGAUGAUACGCGAGGAACCUUACCCGGGCUUAAAUUGCAGUGGAAUGAUGUGGAAACAUGUCAGUGAGCAAUCACCGCUGUGAAGGUGCUGCAUGGUUGUCGUCAGCUCGUGCCGUGAGGUGUCGGCUUAAGUGCCAUAACGAGCGCAACCCUUAUCUUUAGUUACUAACAGGUUAUGCUGAGGACUCUAGAGAGACUGCCGUCGUAAGAUGUGAGGAAGGUGGGGAUGACGUCAAAUCAGCACGGCCCUUACGUCCGGGGCUACACACGUGUUACAAUGGGGGGUACAGAAGGCAGCUAGCGGGUGACCGUAUGCUAAUCCCAAAAUCCUCUCUCAGUUCGGAUCGAAGUCUGCAACCCGACUUCGUGAAGCUGGAUUCGCUAGUAAUCGCGCAUCAGCCACGGCGCGGUGAAUACGUUCCCGGGCCUUGUACACACCGCCCGUCAAGCCAUGGGAGCCGGGGGUACCUGAAGUACGUAACCGCAAGGAUCGUCCUAGGGUAAAACUGGCGACA